GACGUAGGGCGCAAGCGUUGUCCGGAUUUAUUGGGCGUAAAGAGCUCGUAGGCGGCCUGUCGCGUCGACCGUGAAAACCCGCAGCUCAACUGCGGGCUUGCGGUCGAUACGGGCAGGCUGGAGUUCGGUAGGGGAGACUGGAAUUCCUGGUGUAGCGGUGAAAUGCGCAGAUAUCAGGAGGAACACCGGUGGCGAAGGCGGGUCUCUGGGCCGAUACUGACGCUGAGAAGCGAAAGCAUGGGGAGCGAACAGG
rnacentral:rRNA from 1 species